rnacentral:rRNA from 1 species
GAUGAACGCUGGCGGCGUGCCUAAUACAUGCAAGUCGAGCGAACGGACGAGAAGCUUGCUUCUCUGAUGUUAGCGGCGGACGGGUGAGUAACACGUGGAUAACCUACCUAUAAGACUGGGAUAACUUCGGGAAACCGGAGCUAAUACCGGAUAAUAUAUUGAACCGCAUGGUUCAAAAGUGAAAGACGGUCUUGCUGUCACUUAUAGAUGGAUCCGCGCUGCAUUAGCUAGUUGGUAAGGUAACGGCUUACCAAGGCAACGAUGCAUAGCCGACCUGAGAGGGUGAUCGGCCACACUGGAACUGAGACACGGUCCAGACUCCUACGGGAGGCAGCAGUAGGGAAUCUUCCGCAAUGGGCGAAAGCCUGACGGAGCAACGCCGCGUGAGUGAUGAAGGUCUUCGGAUCGUAAAACUCUGUUAUUAGGGAAGAACAAAUGUGUAAGUAACUGUGCACAUCUUGACGGUACCUAAUCAGAAAGCCACGGCUAACUACGUG